UAGCUCUCAGGAAGGUAAAUAGUUGACGUAAAAGCCGAUACCGAAACGAACGAUUGAACGAUACUCCCGGGCCAAUAUGUUUUUAAGUGGAUGUUCCGUGAAGGAUAAUACUGGAGUCGUGUGAAUCAAACAGAGUUCUCGUUGUCAUCGAAGCUCACAUUUUUGGAAACCUGGAAAUAAAAGAGUUUUUCUCUGCCACUGACUCCUGAUUUCGAUCCAAUGAGUCUCAUUUCCCGAAAUUUGUUGCGACACUUGGAAAGUCAACACCCAAUAAUUUUCCGCCAUUAAUCGCUAAACUUUUCCCAUUCGGAGCGAAUGACACGAAUCUACUUUUGCUUAUGCAUACACGUGGGGAUCCGAGAUGCCAGGUGAUUUUAAUAGAUCUCAAUUUCGGAAAAUCAAGUGCUGACCAAUGGCUUUCGUACCAAAGAUUUGUGUAUGGAACUUAGUAUAGCCAUUUAGUCGU